rnacentral:rRNA from 1 species
UACAGAGGUCUCAACCGUUGUUCGGAUUCAUUUGGGCGUAAAGCGUGCGCAGGCGUCUUGCAAGACAGAUGUGAAAUCCCCGGGCUACAACCUGGGAACUGCAUUUGUGACUGCAAGGCUGGAGUACGGUAGAGGGGGAUGGAAUUCCGCGUGUAGCAGUGAAAUGCGCAGAUAUCGGGAGGAACACCGGUGGCGAAGGCGGCGACCUGGGUUGAUACUGACGUGGAGGCGCGAAAGCGUGGGGAGCAAACAGG